rnacentral:rRNA from 1 species
GACGAACGCUGGCGGCGUGCUUAACACAUGCAAGUCGAACGGAAAGGCCCUGCUUUUGUGGGGUGCUCGAGUGGCGAACGGGUGAGUAACACGUGAGUAACCUGCCCUUGACUUUGGGAUAACUUCAGGAAACUGGGGCUAAUACCGGAUAGGAGCUCCUGCUGCAUGGUGGGGGUUGGAAAGUUUCGGCGGUUGGGGAUGGACUCGCGGCUUAUCAGCUUGUUGGUGGGGUAGUGGCUUACCAAGGCUUUGACGGGUAGCCGGCCUGAGAGGGUGACCGGCCACAUUGGGACUGAGGUACGGCCCAGACUCCUACGGGAGGCAGCAGUGGGGAAUAUUGCACAAUGGGCGGAAGCCUGAUGCAGCAACGUCGCGUGCGGGAUGACGGCCUUCGGGUUGUAAACCGCUUUCGCCUGUGACGAAGCGUGAGUGACGGUAAUGGGUAAAGAAGCACCGGCUAACUACGUG